rnacentral:lncRNA from 1 species
CCAAACCGGGGGCUCAAGUGAAGAAAUAUUAUCAUUAGACCUGCCUCCAGGUCUAGCUAAUGUCUUAUUCAGUAUGAAUAGCAGUGGCGUUUGGGCAGGGAGGUGAUGAGAUGCCUAUUAAGAAUGUUGUUUGAACAGAAAAUAUGAUACUGGGUUACAAGUCUUUGUUGCAUGGAGGUCCUGCAGAACGUGCCAUCAGAACCGUUGCUUCUGCAGUUCAAAAGGUCAUAAGUCAAAUCCAAACAUUCAGGAACUCUACUGAGCUUCCAGGCCCAUGGAUUUCUCACCCGCAAAUAUGCAGCAUUCAUCUUUGUUGCCUCUCCAGGUGUGAGAGGCAGUGUAACA